rnacentral:rRNA from 1 species
CGGGCGUUAAGUUGCAGGGUAUAGACCCGAAACCCGGUGAUCUAGCCAUGGGCAGGUUGAAGGUUGGGUAACACUAACUGGAGGACCGAACCGACUAAUGUUGAAAAAUUAGCGGAUGACCUGUGGCUGGGGGUGAAAGGCCAAUCAAACCGGGAGAUAGCUGGUUCUCCCCGAAAGCUAUUUAGGUAGCGCCUCGUGAAUUCAUCUCCGGGGGUAGAGCACUGUUUCGGCUAGGGGGCCAUCCCGGCUUACCAACCCGAUGCAAACUGCGAAUACCGGAGAAUGUUAUCACGGGAGACACACGGCGGGUGCUAACGUCCGUCGUGAAGAGGGAAACAACCCAGACCGCCAGCUAAGGUCCCAAAGUCAUGGUUAAGUGGGAAACGAUGUGGGAAGGCCCAGACAGCCAGGAUGUUGGCUUAGAAGCAGCCAUCAUUUAAAGAAAGCGUAAUAGCUCACUGGUCGAGUCGGCCUGCGCGGAAGAUGUAACGGGGCUAAACCAUGCACCGAAGCUGCGGCAGC